UACGUAGGGGGCAAGCGUUGUCCGGAUUUAUUGGGCGUAAAGAGCUCGUAGGCGGUUGGGCAAGUCACGUGUGAAAUCUCCACGCUCAACGUGGAGGCGCCACGUGAGACUGCCCUGACUCGAGUCCGGUAGGGGAGCGUGGAAUUCCCGGUGUAGCGGUGGAAUGCGUAGAGAUCGGGAAGAACACCAGUGGCGAAGGCGGUCUGCUGGGGCCGUUGCUGACGCUGAGGCGCGACAGCGUGGGGAGCAAACAGG
rnacentral:rRNA from 1 species